UAGCUCAGUUGGGAGAGCACUCCACUUGUAAUGGAGAGGUCCCGGGUUCGAUACCCGG
rnacentral:tRNA from 1 species